rfam:Pseudomonas syringae pv. japonica str. M301072 contig3.96, whole genome shotgun sequence.
CAACGUUCUCAGGGCGGGGUGUAAUUCCCCACCGGCGGUAAUGACGCGCAAUGCGUCUAGCCCGCGAGCGCUUGGGGGUCGUGGCGUUGGCCGCGAUCUGCAAGGUCAGCAGACCCGGUGUGAUUCCGGGGCCGACGGUCAUAGUCCGGAUGAAGAGAGAGCGGGA